GGCGAACGGGUGAGUAACACGUGAGUAACCUGCCCUCCACUUCGGGAUAACCUCGGGAAAUCGUGGCUAAUACCGGAUACUAGCACUCAUCGCAUGGUGAGUGCUGGAAAGAUUUAUCGGUGGGGGAUGGACUCGCGGCCUAUCAGUUUGUUGGUGAGGUGAUGGCUCACCAAGACGAUGACGGGUAGCCGGCCUGAGAGGGCGACCGGCCACACUGGGACUGAGACACGGCCCACACUCCUACGGGAGGCACCAGUGGGGAAUAUUGCACAAUGUCCGAAAGCCUGAUGCAUCGACCCCACGUGGGGGAUGACGGCCUUCGGGUUGUAAACCCCUUUCAGUACGGAAGAAACGAAAGAGACGGUACCUGCAUAAGAACCGCCGGCUAACUACGUGCCAGCAGCCGCGGUAAUACGUAGGGCGCAAGCGUUGUCCGGAAUUAUUGGGCGUAAAGAGCUUGUACGUGGCUUGUCGCGUCUGCCGUGAAAACCCGAGGCUCAACCUCGG
rnacentral:rRNA from 1 species